GGUCAAGCUACUAAGAGCAUAUGGUGGAUGCCUUGGUGUCAGAAGGCGAUGAAGGGCGUGGCAAGCUGCGAUAAGCUCCGGUGAGUUGCAAACAAACUUUGACCCGGAGAUACCCGAAUGGGGAAACCCGACGCGGGUAACGCCGCGUCAUCGCGCGGAUGAAUACAUAGUCUGCGCGAGGCGAACGGGGGGAAGUGAAACAUCUCAGUACCCUCAGGAAGAGAAAGAAACCUCGAUUUCCUUAGUAGUGGCGAGCGAAAAGGAAACAGCCGAAACCGGGCUGCACGUUAAAGCCUGCGAGCGUUGUGCACCCGGGGUUGUGGGGCUCAGUUUGACUGGGACGCAGCCUAAGUCGGGGAGUCAGAAACCAGCAUCGUAGUUGAAUGGUUUGGGAAAACCAACCACAGACGGUGAAAGUCCAGUAAACGAAACGGUGCUGGCUCCCUUCUACUGAGUUCCCUAGUACCACGGGACACGUGGAAUCCUGUGGGAAACCGGGAGGACCACCUCCCAAGGCUAAAUACUCUCUGACGACCGAUAGCGAACCAGUACCGUGAGGGAAAGGUGAAAAGGACUCCUGGCGGAGAGUGUAGGAGCCUGAAUUCGGGAGCUAGUCUCCCGAAGGAUGGUGACUGCGUGCCUUUUGCAUAAUGAACCGGCGAGUUACUUGAGUGUAGCGAGGUUAAGUGUCUAAGACAUGGAGCCGUAGCGAAAGCGAGUCCGAACAGGGCGUUCAGUUGUACUCAGUAGACCCGAAGCCAGGUGAUCUACCCAUGGCCAGGAUGAAGCGUAUUUAACAGUACGUGGAGGUCCGAACCCACUAACGUUGAAAAGUUAGGGGAUGAGCUGUGGGUGGGGGUGAAAGGCCAAUCAAACCUGGUGAUAGCUGGUUCUCCCCGAAAUAGCUUUAGGGCUAGCCUCGCGUAAUUGAGUGACGGAGGUAGAGCACUGAUUGGGCUAGGGACCCUACAAGGUUACCAACCCCAUUCAAACUCCGAAUGCCGUUCACUUGUAUCGCGGGAGUCAGCUCGUGGGGGAUAAGCUUCACGGGCAAAAGGGAAACAACCCAGACCGUCAGCUAAGGUCCCAAAGUACGGGCUAAGUGGAUAAGGAGGUGGGGUUGCACAGACAACUAGGAUGUUGGCUUAGAAGCAGCCAUCAUUUAAAGAGUGCGUAACUGCUCACUAGUCAAGUGGUCCUGCGCCGAUAAUUCUCGGGACUAAAGUCUGUCACCGAAGCUGCGGAAUUCUUCGAGGUUCGCCUCGGAGGAUUGGUAGGGGAGCGUUCCGUUGUAGGAUGAAGUCAACCCGGAAGGGUUGGUCGACGAACCGGAAGUGAUUAUGCCGGUAUGAGUAGCGAGAAAACGGGCGAGAAACCCGUUCACCGAAAACCUAAGGUUUCCUGAGGAAGGUUAAUCCGCUCAGGGUUAGUCGGGUCCUUAGCCGAGGCCGAAAGGCGUAGGCGAUGGGAAACAGGUCAACAUUCCUGUACCAUCUGGAAGACGACGAAGACGCUAUGUGGUGACGCGGGAGUGAAAGGCCAGCCCGAGAUCGGAAGUUCGGGUCUAAGCCUGUAGGAGGGCUGCCCAGGCAAAUCCAGGCAGCCGUUAACUCCGAGAGGCGAUGGGGAGUCCGUAAGGACACAAACUGGCCAUAAUCCGACCGCCGAGAAAAGCCUCUAUGCGAGUCUUUCGGGUGUCCGUACCGUAAACCGACACAGGUAGGUGGGGAGAGAAUCCUAAGGUGCUCGAGUGAGUCUUGCUUAAGGAACUCGGCAAAAUGACCCCGUAACUUCGGAAUAAGGGGUGCCCUCAGGUACGUUGGCUGCCUGCGCAGCCUGCGGACGAGGGCCGCAGUGAAACGGCCCAGGCGACUGUUUACUAAAAACACAGGUCUCUGCUAAGUCGAAGAGACGACGUAUAGGGACUGACACCUGCCCGGUGCUGGAAGGUUAAAGGGCGAAGUUAGCUCUGAGCAAUCAGGUCGAAGCUUCAAACUGAAGCCCCAGUAAACGGCGGCCGUAACUAUAACGGUCCUAAGGUAGCGAAAUUCCUUGUCGGGUAAGUUCCGACCUGCACGAAUGGUGUAACGAAGCGGUGAAGAUGCCGCUUACCCGCGACUGGACAGAAAGACCCCGUGCACCUUUACUGCAACCUGAUAUUGGGUUCUGGCCAUGCAUGUGUAGGAUAGGUGGGAGGCUUUGAAGCGGAGGCGCUAGCUUCCGUGGAGCCGACCUUGAAAUACCACCCUUGUAUUGUUGGGAUCCUAACCUGGAGCCGUGAAGCCGGCCCAGGAACAGUGUCAGGCGGGCAGUUUGACUGGGGCGGUCGCCUCCUAAAGUGUAACGGAGGCGCCCAAAGGUUCCCUCAGCGCGGUUGGUAAUCGCGCGGCGAGUGUAAAGGUAUAAGGGAGCUUGACUGUGAGACCGACAGGUCGAUCAGGUGCGAAAGCAGGGCUUAGUGAUCCGGCGGUUCUGUGUGGAAGGGCCGUCGCUCAACGGAUAAAAGGUACGCCGGGGAUAACAGGCUGAUCUCCCCCGAGAGUUCACAUCGACGGGGGGGUUUGGCACCUCGAUGUCGGCUCAUCGCAUCCUGGGGCUGAAGAAGGUCCCAAGGGUUCGGCUGUUCGCCGAUUAAAGCGGUACGUGAGCUGGGUUUAGAACGUCGUGAGACAGUUCGGUCCCUAUCCAUCGCGGGCGUAGGAUAUCUGAGAGGGGCUGUCCCUAGUACGAGAGGACCGGGACGGACGAACCUCUGGUGUACCAGCUGUCGCGCCAGCGGCAUCGCUGGGUAGCUAUGUUCGGUUGGGAUAAGCGCUGAAAGCAUAUAGGCGCGAAGCUCGCCUCAAGACUAGAUAUCCCGCUGGGAAACCAGCCUGAAGGUCCCUUGGAGAUUACAAGGUUGAUAGGCCGGAGGUGUAAGUGGGGCAACCCAUUCAGCCGACCAGUACUAAUUGACCGUGAGGCUUGUUCGA
rnacentral:rRNA from 1 species